AAUCAUUAACUUGAAACUUGGAAACAUAAAAUUUCAUCAAUGAUUCAGCCACGCAACGAUUUUAUAAUCAACCAGUCGCAAUGCUGUACUGAGUUCAGUCCAGUACCCAGCCAGUAAAUAUUUGCAGUGUGCACAUUCCGAUACAUCUCCCUCUCUCGUUCUUCGCAUCCAACGAAUCAGCAUUAGGCCGUUGUAUCUGGCUCACUGCGGCAGGGGCGUACACUGGACGAGGAGGAGAGAUAACAGAUGAGCGAGCAGAUGUCCGCCCUUUGUGGAGGUGAAAGGCAGCGUGGAACAAUUUUGAAAUACUCGUGCAUAUAUGGUCUUAUAUAGGCUCUUCUAUGGAUGCCGACCAAGAAUAUACCUUCUGGUUCUUAUCAGUCGUGUGCAUCUCAGCGAGUACUCUAUGAUAGGGACCGUAUCCUAACGACUUUUGCUUUUUCAGUAAAGAGUACAUACGAGUAUGUAAAGGUUUCAUUUGAUGUUGAUCUAAAACUGAGCGACUAGAGGGCAUAGAAACAUAAACGAAAGACUCCCAUCGAAUUAAACAUGGUCAAGAGAUGUUUGCAUCGGGCGCUAAAUAUUCUACAAGGGUUACAAAACGUGAGUGCUUUCAAUGCUUUUAUUAUUCGAGACUAUCUGAACGAAGUCUAUCUGGCGAAGGGGUGCCUUCCUACCUAAUGGACCGUCACAAACUAGCUUUGGAAUAUAGAUAUAUUUAAUAGAAAAUUGAUAAAUAUGUACAUGGUUUUAUUGCUAUGCUUAUUGUUAUGCAUGUCAAUUUUGUAUAAAUCUAAUAUAUGAAUAGACGAUAGAAGGAUAUUUUUA